CCCUUAGAGUUUGAUCCUGGCUCAGAACGAACGCUGGCGGCAUGCCUAACACAUGCAAGUCGAACGAAGGCCCUAGCUUGCUAGGUGUCCUUAGUGGCGAACGGGUGAGUAACGCGUGGGAAUCUGCCAUAGAGUGGGGAACAACUUUUGGAAACGAAAGCUAAUACCGCAUACGCCCUCCGGGGGAAAGGCUUCGGCCGCUCUUUGAUGAUCCCGCGUCUGAUUAGCUUGUUGGUAGGGUAACGGCUUACCAAGGCGACGAUCAGUAGCUGGUCUGAGAGGAUGAUCAGCCACACUGGGACUGAGACACGGCCCAGACUCCUACGGGAGGCAGCAGUGGGGAAUAUUGGACAAUGGGGGAAACCCUGAUCCAGCAAUGCCGCGUGAGUGAAGAAGGCCUUAGGGUUGUAAAACUCUUUCGCCGGUGAAGAUGAUGACUGUAGCCGGUAAAGAAGCCCCGGCUAACUCCGUGCCAGCAGCCGCGGUAAUACGGAGGGGGCUAGCGUUGUUCGGAUUUACUGGGCGUAAAGCGCACGUAGGCGGCAUAUUAAGUUAGAGGUGAAAGGCCUGGGCUCAACCUAGGAACUGCCUUUAAUACUGGUAUGCUUGAGUUCGGAAGAGGGUAGUGGAAUUCCAAGUGUAGAGGUGAAAUUCGUAGAUAUUUGGAAGAACACCGGUGGCGAAGGCGGCUACCUGGUCCGAUACUG
rnacentral:rRNA from 1 species